rnacentral:rRNA from 1 species
CCUACGGGAGGCUGCAGUGAGGAAUAUUGGUCAAUGGACGCAAGUCUGAACCAGCCAUGUCGCGUGCAGGAUGACUGCCCUACGGGUUGUAAACUGCUUUUUUACGAGAAGAAUUAUAAUUACGUGUAAUUAUUUGACAGUAUCGUAUGAAUAAGGAUCGGCUAACUCCGUGCCAGCAGCCGCGGUAAUACGGAGGAUCCAAGCGUUAUCCGGAUUUAUUGGGUUUAAAGGGUACGUAGGCGGACUUAUAAGUCAGUGGUGAAAUUCUGCAGCUUAACUGUAGCAUUGCCAUUGAUACUGUUUGUCUUGAGUAUAGUUGAGGUAGGCGGAAUGUAGUGUGUAGCGGUGAAAUGCAUAGAUAUACUACGGAACACCGAUUGCGAAGGCAGCUUACUAAACUAUUACUGACGCUGAGGUACGAAAGCGUGGGGAGCAAACAGGAUUAGAUACCCUAGUAGUC